rnacentral:rRNA from 1 species
GGUUGCAGUUAAAAAGCUCGUAGUUGGAUUUCGGAACCGGCCGAUUGGUCCGUCCUCUGGAUCGUGUACUGAUCGGUCUGUUCUUCUUCGCGAAGACCGCGUGUGCUCUUAACUGAGUGGGCGCGGGAUUCGCGACGUUUACUUUGAAAAAAUUAGAGUGUUCAAAGCAGGCAGUCGCUUGAAUAUCUCAGCAUGGAAUAAUAGAAUAGGACUUUGGUCUUAUUUUGUUGGUUUCCGAGACCGAAGUAAUGAUUAAUAGGGACAGUUGGGGGCAUUCGUAUUUCAUUGUCAGAGGUGAAAUUCUUGGAUUUAUGAAAGACGAACUUCUGCGAAAGCAUUUGCCAAGGAUGUUUUCAUUAAUCAAGAACGAAAGUUGGAGGCUCGAAGACGAUCAGAUACCGUCCUAGUUCCAACCAUAAACGAUGCCGUCUGCGGAUCGGAGGUCGCUCAUGUAAGGCUC